rnacentral:rRNA from 1 species
CGACCGGCCACACUGGGACUGAGACACGGCCCAGACUCCUGCGGGAGGCAGCAGUGGGGAAUAUUGCACAAUGGGCGAAAGCCUGAUGCAGCGACGCCGCGUGGGGGAUGACGGCCUUCGGGUUGUAAACCUCUUUUACCACCAACGCAGGCUCCACGUUCUCGUGGGGUUGACGGUAGGUGGGGAAUAAGGACCGGCUAACUACGUGCCAGCAGCCGCGGUAAUACGUAGGGUCCGAGCGUUGUCCGGAAUUAUUGGGCGUAAAGAGCUCGUAGGCGGCAUGUCGCGUCUGCUGUGAAAGACCGGGGCUUAACUCCGGUUCUGCAGUGGAUACGGGCAUGCUAGAGGUAGGUAGGGGAAACUGGAAUUCCUGGUGUAGCGGUGAAAUGCGCAGAUAUCAGGAGGAACACCGGUGGCGAAGGCGGGUUUCUGGGCCUUACCUGACGCUGAGGAGCGAAAGCAUGGGGAGCGAACAGGAUUAGAUACCCUGGUAGUCCAUGCCGUAAACGUUGGGCGCUAGGUGUGGGGACUUUCCACGGUUUCCGCGCCGUAGCUAACGCAUUAAGCGCCCCGCCUGGGGAGUACGGCCGCAAGGCUAAAACUCAAAGGAAUUGACGGGGGCCCGCACAAGCGGCGGAGCAUGUUGCUUAAUUCGACGCAACGCGAAGAACCUUACCAAGGUUUGACAUCACCCGUGGACCUGUAGAGAUACAGGGUCAUUUAGUUGGUGGGUGACAGGUGGUGCAUGGCUGUCGUCAGCUCGUGUCGUGAGAUGUUGGGUUAAGUCCCGCAACGAGCGCAACCCUUGUUCCAUGUUGCCAGCACGUAAUGGUGGGGACUCAUGGGAGACUGCCGGGGUCAACUCGGAGGAAGGUGGGGACGACGUCAAGUCAUCAUGCCCCUUAUGUCUUGGGCUGCAAACAUGCUACAAUGGCCGGUACAAUGGGCGUGCGAUACCGUAAGGUGGAGCGAAUCCCUUAAAGCCGGUCUCAGUUCGGAUUGGGGUCUGCAACUCGACCCCAUGAAGGUGGAGUCGCUAGUAAUCGCGGAUCAGCAACGCCGCGGUGAAUACGUUCCCGGGCCUUGUACACACCG